GACGAACGCUGGCGGCGUGCUUAACACAUGCAAGUCGAACGGAAAGGCCCUUCGGGGUACUCGAGUGGCGAACGGGUGAGUAACACGUGGGUGAUCUGCCCUGCACUUUGGGAUAAGCCUGGGAAACUGGGUCUAAUACCGAAUAUGACCGCGCUCUUCAUGGGGUGUGGUGGAAAGCUUUUGCGGUGUGGGAUGGGCCCGCGGCCUAUCAGCUUGUUGGUGGGGUAAUGGCCUACCAAGGCGACGACGGGUAGCCGGCCUGAGAGGGUGACCGGCCACACUGGGACUGAGAUACGGCCCAGACUCCUACGGGAGGCAGCAGUGGGGAAUAUUGCACAAUGGGCGCAAGCCUGAUGCAGCGACGCCGCGUGAGGGAUGACGGCCUUCGGGUUGUAAACCUCUUUCAAUAGGGACGAAGCGCAAGUGACGGUACCUAUAGAAGAAGGACCGGCCAACUACGUGCCAGCCGCCGCGGUAAUAC
rnacentral:rRNA from 1 species